UGUGCCCUUCCGAUCAGGAUGCUUCAAGCAGUAAAAUGUUUGGUAGCCAAUUGAACUAGAAUGGUACACAAACAACCUCACCCUACUUCAAAUAAAGCUCCAACUGAGACAUAACUCGUAAUGUUAUUGUUUAGUUGAUUGAAUUUAGUUGAUACAAGUCCUCCAAAGCAGUUGUUGUUCAUGUCACACUACAGUUUCUAGGUACAAUAGACAGUAUCUGACCCCAUAACACAGAGUAACCUUGGUGAUACUAUGCACGCAGGGUGUUCCUUUACAAAUGCAUUGUAAAAUGGUAUCCAGCCACACGCUAGGCCAGCAGUGGCAAAAUAAACAGUUUAUCUGAAGUACUUUGUAACAUUGCUCAAUGUCUUUGGGAACUGCCUGACGUAAUGCUUAGAUACCGAAGUUGAAUUAAGUGAAGAUUAAAUGCACCACUACUUGAUUUCGAAACCUCCUGUGCCAUUAACCUUGACUUGCAGUGGUUUUCCUCAUCCUGUUGCCAUAAUAGCAUUGCUUUCCUUGAAGCCAUUUGGUCACUUUUAUCUGACAUCACAGUAGGAUCCUUAUGUUAUGACACUGUGAUGGCUUACUGCAUGAUGACAGUGAGGUAUGAAUUUGCCAGAGGCUGUAGGCUCAGAUCUUCCUGAAUGCAGGUGGUGGUUU